CAGCCGUAAACUAUGCGCGUUAGGUGUAUCGGUGACCACGAGUUACCGAGGUGCCGAAGGGAAACCGUGAAACGUGCCGCCUGGGAAGUACGGUCGCAAGGCUGAAACUUAAAGGAAUUGGCGGGGGAGCACCACAACAGGUGGAGCCUGUGGUUUAAUUGGACUCAACGCCGGGAAGCUCACCGGAUAGGACAGCAGAAUGAUUGCCGGGCUGAAGACCCUGCAUGACUAGCUGAGAGGAGGUGCAUGGCGUAGUCGUGU
rnacentral:rRNA from 1 species